rnacentral:rRNA from 1 species
UACGUAGGGACCGAGCGUUGUCCGGAAUCAUUGGGCGUAAAGAGCUCGUAGGCGGUUUGUCGCGUCGGCUGUGAAAGCCCGGAGCUCAACUCCGGGUCUGCAGUCGAUACGGGCAGACUUGAGUGUUGCAGGGGAGAUUGGAAUUCCUGGUGUAGCGGUGAAAUGCGUAGAUAUCAGGAGGAACACCGGUGGCGAAGGCGGGUCUCUGGGCCGAUACUGACGCUGAGGAGCGAAAGCGUGGGGAGCGAACAGG